rnacentral:rRNA from 1 species
GACAGAGGUGCCGAGCGUUAGGCGGAAUCACUGGGCUUAAAGCGUGUGUAGGCGGAUGCCUAAGUACCUUGUGAAAUCCCAUGGCUCAACCAUGGAACUGCUUGGUAUACUGGGUGUCUUGAGCUAUCUAGGGGCAACUGGAACAAACGGUGGAGCGGUGAAAUGCGUAGAUAUCGUUUGGAACGCCAAUGGUGAAAACAGGUUGCUGGGGGAUAUGCUGACGCUGAGACACGAAAGCCAGGGGAGCAAACGGG